rnacentral:rRNA from 1 species
CCUACGGGAGGCAGCAGUGAGGAAUAUUGGUCAAUGGACGAGAGUCUGAACCAGCCAAGUAGCGUGAAGGAUGACUGCCCUAUGGGUUGUAAACUUCUUUUAUAUGGGAAUAAAAUGUUCCACGUGUGGGAUUUUGUAUGUACCAUAUGAAUAAGGAUCGGCUAACUCCGUGCCAGCAGCAGCGGUAAUACGGAGGAUCCGAGCGUUAUCCGGAUUUAUUGGGUUUAAAGGGAGCGUAGGUGGAUUGUUAAGUCAGUUGUGAAAGUUUGCGGCUCAACCGUAAAAUUGCAGUUGAAACUGGCAGUCUUGAGUACAGUAGAGGUGGGCGGAAUUCGUGGUGUAGCGGUGAAAUGCUUAGAUAUCACGAAGAACUCCGAUUGCGAAGGCAGUUCACUGGACUGCAACUGACACUGAGGCUCGAAAGUGUGGGUAUCAAACAGGAGUAGAUACCCCUGUAGUC